AAGAAAGUGACUGCCGCCCCGCACAGGGGCAACACAAAUAGACCGACACGAAAACAGGAUUUCAUAGAAGCGCAAAAAAACGAAACCCCCAACGCACCAGCACCCU
rnacentral:sRNA from 1 species